rnacentral:rRNA from 1 species
AUUGAACGCUGGCGGCAUGCUUUACACAUGCAAGUCGAACGGUAACAGGCCUUCGGGUGCUGACGAGUGGCGAACGGGUGAGUAAUGCAUCGGAACGUACCCAGAGGUGGGGAUAACGCAGCGAAAGCUGUGCUAAUACCGCAUGUGAUCUGAGGAUGAAAGCGGGGGACCGAGCAGCCAUGUUUUGCCUCGCGCCUUUGGAGCGGCCGAUGUCGGAUUAGCUAGUUGGUGGGGUAAAGGCCUACCAAGGCGACGAUCCGUAGCUGGUCUGAGAGGACGACCAGCCACACUGGGACUGAGACACGGCCCAGACUCCUACGGGAGGCAGCAGUGGGGAAUUUUGGACAAUGGGCGCAAGCCUGAUCCAGCAAUGCCGCGUGCGGGAAGAAGGCCUUCGGGUUGUAAACCGCUUUUGGCAGGAACGAAACGGUGUCCGCUAAUACCGGGCGCUAAUGACGGUACCUGCAGAAUAAGCACCGGCUAACUACGUG